AAAUCAUCAAGUCAUGAUAUCACCACGUUCGUACACUCGCGUAAUAACGACGAAUCGAGCGUCGAUUGUUCUUUUCACUAGACACUUCGAAACUCUCGUAAAAUCAUCGUCCGCGUACACUUCACUCGGUCGCGUUUCCAUGAAUGCGCCAAAGACGGUUUACCAUCCUACGAAACGAAGCAACAGUCUGCGUCACUGGCGCAAGCGAACACGCGAGCGCUCGGACAAAUAAACAAUAAGAAAGCAAUAACUCUCCGGGAGGCGUUUUUGGCAGCUGUCAAAAUCGCUGGAGUGACGUUGCUUUAAACUCUCUAGUUAGCGUUGCGCACUGCGCGGGAGCUGUCAACAGAAUGAGCCGACCCGCUGGGAGCCACGGGUCGGGCAAGAGGCACAGAUAAAAAGAAUGAGCCGAGCACGGCCGACCGUUCCCGAGCAUCCACGAAGCGACUCGACGCGUUGGAUCGGCGACAGGUCAGAGCCUGUCAACUUAGUUUCAACUCAGAUCCGAAGCCACGAUCAGUACAACCUUAGUGGAUAUAAUGAAGCACGUAUGACAUGACGUAUCAUAUUAAUAUACGAUAGAUAAUUAAGAAUAUAAAGAAUCGAGGAGAUACGACGAGAAUAAACUUAUAAGACAUUAACGUACGGCAUAAACAUUAUUGUUUUUGUUUGUUUGGUCGUUGACGCGUACUGUUAUGGCGACCAUUAAAGUCACGACCUUCUAUUAAUAACGAUCCGUAAGAAGCACACGUACUCGUUCCAACGACAGCGAUUCACGUUAGCAGGUUUAUCCAAGGGCGGUAUUUUCAAUUAGAUCGAAAGAACAGAAAACACGAGGUUGGCGGGUGAUCGUUAACGAUCUUGAAAGCUCCCGGAAUCCAAGACUCCAGCACGCAUCCCAUCGAAGGUGAAGGUUUCUCUCCUUCUCCGCCAACCACGAAAGCCGUUUAUUAUACAACCUGUAUAAAAGCGAGCAACGAGGCGUGAGCCGAUCAUUUUUUUUAACGGUUUCCGUCGAACCAACCGAGAGAGAGGUUAUGCCCACCCGGUCCUCCUUUUUCGCAUUCUCGGAUAAUAACAGGCCUUACCCGCAUCGAGCGAUCGUUCGUCCCAACCAAGAAAACCGGCACAGCCUCUGGCGUUUGUCCUAGGUACUGGCAGCUAAUCAGACUACUUGCAGUCAGUUUAUCCACGUCCCAAACAGAAGAGAUUUUUGGACUUUAUUAACAGGUCAAGGGUUCGUUUCCGGCUUCAGCCUCCCUUCUGCCAAUGACUGCUACUGAUAUUAUCGUACACGCGACUUCUUCCUAUUGAAACGAGAGAAACUGACGAAUUCGCGAACGGUCAACUUUCAAAACUCCAUUUGGCCUUAGUAGAAACGCACGGCUUGACGUGGCCGGAGUAAUAUGACAAUCAAAUACUUUUUUCAUAGCGAAUACGUCACGUCCUUUAUGUCAGGAGCUGCACGCUCGAGGGUGUUAUUAAUCCAAUACACACACAUAUAUAUAUACACGUAUAUAUACGUACUAAACCUAUAUGCUUAAUAAUAAUUAUUGGUUCUCAACGAACAUCGUACUAAAAUGGACAAUGGGACAAAAACAGUAAAACAACUUGAACUCGAUUUCUUUACACCGCAUUGUUCAAUGAAAUAUCCUUCCGCUGUUGGGAUGGGAAUAUUUUUUUUUAACGAUAAGUGUCAUUCACCGUGACACGAUUGCAGUUAUCGGGGUUAUCGAUGCGCUUCCGUUCCGCGAAACCAUAUGCAAAUACGCACGCCCACACUGUAUGAAAUUUGCAUUCGUCAUUGUUAU